GAUGAACGCUGGCGGCGUGCCUAGUACAUGCAAGUCGAGCGAACGGACGAGAAGCUUGCUUCUCUGAUGUUAGCGGCGGACGGGUGAGUAACACGUGGAUAACCUACCUAUAAGACUGGGAUAACUUCGGGAAACCGGAGCUAAUACCGGAUAAUAUUUUGAACCGCAUGGUUCAAAAGUGAAAGACGGUCUUGCUGUCACUUAUAGAUGGAUCCGCGCUGCAUUAGCUAGUUGGUAAGGUAACGGCUUACCAAGGCAACGAUGCAUAGCCGACCUGAGAGGGUGAUCGGCCACACUGGAACUGAGACACGGUCCAGACUCCUACGGGAGGCAGCAGUAGGGAAUCUUCCGCAAUGGGCGAAAGCCUGACGGAGCAACGCCGCGUGAGUGAUGAAGGUCUUCGGAUCGUAAAACUCUGUUAUUAGGGAAGAACAUAUGUGUAAGUAACUGUGCACAUCUUGACGGUUCCUAAUCAGAAAGCCACGGCUAACUACGUG
rnacentral:rRNA from 1 species